rnacentral:lncRNA from 1 species
AGACAGAAUAGCAAGUCUGUUCCUUCACUGGCAUCGGACUCUACUUCUUCAGGAGUCCAGCAUAGACUGAAGAGGAGCUGAGACACCCAGACUCGACAUUGAGCAACUGCUGCCAUUCAUAGCCAGCCACUGUUAGACUAGCUGGACUACAGCCUGAACACCACACUGGUUCAUUACAUUGAAGACAAAAAUACUGUCUGGACCGAGUGAACACAAGUCCUAUUGCGUGAACUUUCCUGUGAAGAUGUAGACAAAU